AUCCGCAGGAUCGGAUUCGGAUGCACGUGGAUAUUUAUCAUAUCCGAUAUAAGUUUUCAAAAGUUGAACGAUAAAUAUGUAUGUACUAUCAUUACUGUAUAAAAUGGGGCUAAUUUUGGAACAGGUGCCACAUGAGCAGAAAUAUUUUCCACCAAUCAAUCUGUCAGGUUAUUGCGGACUAGGUUUGGAAUAAAAAAAUUAAGUUACCUUCCCAGCCCAUUUAAACCAUUUCGCAGCCCAAUCCAGAGCCGGUCUUGAUACGGGUCGUGUUAUAUCGUCGUCUCGAUCCCGUUUCUCUUUAAAAAAAAUCACUCAUCCUCCCUAACCCUAAUCGCCGUAUCGAUUCUCUUCCUUUCCCCCAACUCCUCCCGCAUAACGCCUCCGAUGAGAGUGCUGGUACUUCAAUGUUCUCCCAUAAAUCCUCCAUUCAAGAUCCCCACGGACCCUCCACAUCCCCCCUCCGGUUCGAUGAUAUCUAGAUCCCUAUUUAUACCCUUAUCACUCUUCCAUCAGAUCGUAAAAUCCAUACCCUUAUCAUGGGAAAAACAUAUUUGCCUUUGUUUGAAUCAGCUCUAGGAUGUCGUCAACGUUUAUACGAGUGGGCUUGACAUCGAUCAAAGCAGUACAAUCAUGUUUGGCAGACAAUGAAGGUUUUGGAUGGAGUCCACACGCGGUCUCGGAUCCAUUUCGUCUCGGAUCCAUUUGGUGAUGCUUUCCAAUGGCUGGAGAUGUAGGAGAAACUAACGACAGAUUCUUCAAGGACUUAGUCAGGUGAAGCAGCGGUGGAUAAGGAGGAUAAGAUAGUUGUGCCUCCAAGGAAGGAGCCUGAGGUAGAGAAAAAAAAAACCGGAACAUGAACAUGAGUCUGAGUUUGGAAAAGAAAAAGAGAGUAAGGAGAGGAAGGAGAAAGCGUUAAAGGAGAUAGAGAUGGGGAAUGCGGCAUGCAAGGCUACAGUUUUAUCUGAUUUGCUUGGUAAUUGGUUAAGUCUAAAUGUGAUCAUGUUUGAUUGCUGUGAAGAAAGCUUAGUGUUCUCUCUUUGAUUUAUCCCUCCAUCUGUGCCUUUUUGUUCUUGCAAAGGUUUUUCUCACACAUUUUUAAUUAUCAAAUUUGAUUUUUUUUA